rnacentral:rRNA from 1 species
GAGCGAACGGACGAGAAGCUUGCUUUCUCUGAUGUUAGCGGCGGACGGGUGAGUAACACGUGGAUAACCUACCUAUAAGACUGGGAUAACUUCGGGAAACCGGAGCUAAUACCGGAUAAUAUUUUGAACCGCAUGGUUCAAAAGUGAAAGACGGUCUUGCUGUCACUUAUAGAUGGAUCCGCGCUGCAUUAGCUAGUUGGUAAGGUAACGGCUUACCAAGGCAACGAUGCAUAGCCGACCUGAGAGGGUGAUCGGCCACACUGGAACUGAGACACGGUCCAGACUCCUACGGGAGGCAGCAGUAGGGAAUCUUCCGCAAUGGGCGAAAGCCUGACGGAGCAACGCCGCGUGAGUGAUGAAGGUCUUCGGAUCGUAAAACUCUGUUAUUAGGGAAGAACAUAUGUGUAAGUAACUGUGCACAUCUUGACGGUACCUAAUCAGAAAGCCACGGCUAACUACGUGCCAGCAGCCGCGGUAAUACGUAGGUGGCAAGCGUUAUCCGGAAUUAUUGGGCGUAAAGCGCGCGUAGGCGGUUUUUUAAGUCUGAUGUGAAAGCCCACGGCUCAACCGUGGAGGGUCAUUGGAAACUGGAAAACUUGAGUGCAGAAGAGGAAAGUGGAAUUCCAUGUGUAGCGGUGAAAUGCGCAGAGAUAUGGAGGAACACCAGUGGCGAAGGCGACUUUCUGGUCUGUAACUGACGCUGAUGUGCGAAAGCGUGGGGAUCAAACAGGAUUAGAUACCCUGGUAGUCCACGCCGUAAACGAUGAGUGCUAAGUGUUAGGGGGUUUCCGCCCCUUAGUGCUGCAGCUAACGCAUUAAGCACUCCGCCUGGGGAGUACGACCGCAAGGUUGAAACUCAAAGGAAUUGACGGGGACCCGCACAAGCGGUGGAGCAUGUGGUUUAAUUCGAAGCAACGCGAAGAACCUUACCAAAUCUUGACAUCCUUUGACAACUCUAGAGAUAGAGCUUUCCCCUUCGGGGGACAAAGUGACAGGUGGUGCAUGGUUGUCGUCAGCUCGUGUCGUGAGAUGUUGGGUUAAGUCCCGCAACGAGCGCAACCCUUAAGCUUAGUUGCCAUCAUUAAGUUGGGCACUCUAAGUUGACUGCCGGUGACAAACCGGAGGAAGGGGGGGAUGACGUCAAAUCAUCAUGCCCCUUAUGAUUUGGGCUACCCCCGUGCUACAUGGACAAUACAAAGGGCAGCGAAAC